rnacentral:rRNA from 1 species
AGCGAACGCUGGCGGCAGGCCUAACACAUGCAAGUCGAACGAACCCAUCGGGGUUUGUGGCGGACGGGUGAGUAGCCCGUGGGAACGUGCCUCUAGGUUCGGAAUAACUCAGGGAAACUUGUGCUAAUACCGAAUGUGCCCUUCGGGGGAAAGAUUUAUCGCCUUUAGAGCGGCCCGCGUCUGAUUAGCUAGUUGGUGAGGUAAUGGCUCACCAAGGCUACGAUCAGUAGCUGGUCUGAGAGGAUGACCAGACACAUUGGGACUGAGACACGGCACAAACUCCUACGGGAGGCAGGAGUGGGGAAUCUUGCGCAAUGGGCGAAAGCCUGACGCAGCCAUGCCGCGUGGAUGAUGAAGGUCUUAGGAUUGUAAAAUCCUUUCACCGGUGAAGAUAAUGACUGUAGCCGGAGAAGAAGCCCCGGCUAACUUCGUGCCAGCCGCCGCGGUAAGAC